GACAGAGGAUGCAAGCGUUAUCCGGAAUGAUUGGGCGUAAAGCGUCUGUAGGUGGCUUUUAAGUCCGCCGUCAAAUCCCAGGGCUCAACCCUGGACAGGCGGUGGAAACUACCAAGCUGGAGUACGGUAGGGCAGAGGGAAUUCCGGUGGAGCGGUGAAAUGCGUAGAGAUCGGAAAGAACACCAACGGCGAAAGCACUCUGCUGGCCGACACUGACACUGAGAGACGAAGCUAGGGAGCGAAUGG
rnacentral:rRNA from 1 species